rnacentral:rRNA from 1 species
UCGGGAAUUUUGGGCAAUGGGCGAAAGCCUGACCCAGCAACGCCGCGUGAGGGAUGAAGUAUUUCGGUAUGUAAACCUCGAAAGAAUGGGAAGAAUAAAUGACGGUACCAUUUAUAAGCUCCGGCUAACUACGUGCCAGCAGCCGCGGUAAUACGUAGGGAGCAAGCGUUGUUCGGAUUUACUGGGCGUAAAGGGCGCGUAGGCGGCGCGGUAAGUCACUUGUGAAAUCUCUGAGCUUAACUCAGAACGGCCAAGUGAUACUGCUGUGCUAGAGUGCGGAAGAGGCAACCGGAAUUCUUGGUGUAGCGGUGAAAUGCGUAGAUUUCAAGAGGAACACCUGAGGCGAAGGCGGGUUGCUGGGCCGACACUGACGCUGAUGCGCGAAAGCCAGGGGAGCAAACG